rnacentral:rRNA from 1 species
UACGAAGGGGCUAGCGUUGCUCGGAAUCACUGGGCGUAAAGCGCACGUAGGCGGCUUUUAAGUCAGGGUGAAUCCGUGGAGCUCAACUCCAGAACUGCCUUUGAUACUGAGAAGCUUGAGUCCGGGAGAGGUGAGUGGAGCUGCGAGUGUAGAGGUGAAAUUCGUAGAUAUUCGCAAGAACACCAGUGGCGAAGGCGGCUCACUGGCCCGGUACUGACGCUGAGGUGCGAAAGCGUGGGGAGCAAACAGGG